rnacentral:lncRNA from 1 species
CAGGUGAAGAAUAAUGGCCAAGAAUUUUACAGAUUUCAUUAAAAAAAAUCAAUCCACAGACCCAAGAUACUCAAAAAAUCUCAAGCUGGAAAAACACAAGGCAAACCACACAGAUGAACAUAUUUAUUAAAUUUCUGAAAACAAGAGAUGAAGAGAAAAAUCUUAAAAACAGCCAGAAAAAUAUAUGUAUAGAGGAACAAAUAUAUAAAGCUAAUUUCUCAUCAGAAGCUAUGCAUGUCAGAACGGAAAAAAAUCUUUAAAGUGCUGAAAGAAAAAAAGAAACUGUAAACCUGGAUUUUUAUAGCUGAUAAAAAUAUCCUUCAAAAAUGAAGGCAAAGUGAAGAUUUUUCAGAAAAAAAAACUGAGAGAAGUUUGGCUAGCAGACCUGGAUGACAAGAAAUGUUAAAAAAUAAGUUCUUCAGAUGGAAAGAAAAUGAUAACUGAAAAUUUGGAAUUCCUACAGAAAGGAAUGAAAAGCUCCAGAAAUGGUGGCAAGAGAACAGAGUGCAAAAGAAGGCAAGAAGGAAAAGAAGGCAAGAAGGAAUGAGAACUUUUAUAUUUAUGCUUGCUUGUGCAAAUUAUACAAACCAUCAUGGAAAUGCCUGACGCAACGACUGGCACCCAGUAGAAUGGAUGACGUCUAAAUGCGCCUUUGUCCCAUGAGCUGCGUGGCCCUCAGGGCAUCGAGCUGAUUCCCCUCCUUCCUGAGGGUCUCCCUUAUCCUGAAGGCCCUGGAUUCCAGAGGUGUCUCAGCAAGAGUCGCUGUCCAGAUGUGUGGGAAGAGCACUGGCAGAGGAUCAGGAGUGGGUUUGCAUCCCUGCCCUCUCGGCUUCCUGGUCCAUGGCAACCACCUUCCCUUUCUGGGCCUCUGUCUCUACCUCUCAGAUGGGGGCUUGUCACUCCCAGCUCUGAACAUAUAUAUAAGAAUCUGUUGCUGUUUGCUGUGCUUCUCUCAAAUCAAACCUCCCAUGUCUCUGUCUCUUUC